UCGGGAGGGUCCGGUGGCUGCGUCCAGUAGAGCCCGGGGGCUGCGCACUUUGAGCGUGGAAUCUGAGAACGAGUCUGUGAAGCUGAGGUACUCCUGGAAGCGGGUGCUGGUCCACAUGUUAUGGCCAGGGAGCAGCGGACUGCGCUCCUUGUCAUUCUUGAGGCGCCUCUGAAUGGAGUUGUUGCACAGGUGGAUGGCGCUGUGGGCAAUGUGCUUGUGAGACUGGUGUAUGCCAACAACCAUAACACGGAGCCAGCACUGUCUGCCCAGCUUGCCCUGACGUCACUUUGCCUCAUGCAGGGUUGCUGCAGAAGGUGUGGGCUAGUGGGUUUUGGACUGUUAGCUCUGCUACCCAGAAGCAGCCAUGGACCCCUCAACCAGCCUGGAGGAACAGCACAGACUGUACCAAGACAGAGCAGAAGCCCACCAAUGCAGAACCAACCACUAGGAAAAAUAAUCGGCCUAAGCCUCAGUUUCCCCAGAGGCACAUGUCAGUAGGAGCAUGUGAACCACCUACCUAAAGUUUCCAGUGAGUUACUUUAUACUCCACCUUGCUCUAUAUGGACUUCAAACAAGCAGUCCGUUUUAGAAGACUGUAGGACACUGUUCGGAGCUAAGGGUAUUUUCAUUUGAACUGCAGGUGUAAGGCAGGCAGUUCCAGAGUGAGGCCUGCCCCACAGCCACAUGUAAGAAAGGUGAACAUUUAAAAGACACAACCACUCA